rnacentral:misc_RNA from 1 species
AAGUCGUAACAAGGUUUCCGUAGGUGAACCUGCGGAAGGAUCAUUACUACGUUUCUAAACAAACGUUUUAAACUCCAAAAUUUUAAUAGUGGAAAAUAUAACUUCCGGAUGCAUUUGUAGGAGGGGAGAUCAGACCUUAAAUAGUCUGUUUUUCUCUUUUGAAAAGGAGACUUCAUACACUUCUUGUGAGUGUGUGACACUUCAGAGUAGAGCAGUGAGGUGAAAACUUCGGUUUUGGUUUCUGAAAUACAUCUGUAUCCGGUUAUUCUCUGUUCUACAACCCUUUUAUUAAACAAUAAACCCCAUGUACAACAACUUGAACUAAACAAAUUUUGUUUUCUCUUUGAGGAAAUGAAGUAAAUCUGAACUUAAGAACAACUCUUAACAACGGAUAUCUUGGCUCUC